rnacentral:rRNA from 1 species
AGCGAACGCUGGCGGCAGGCCUAACACAUGCAAGUCUAACGAACCUAUCGGGGUUAGUCGCGGCCGGGUGAGUAACACGACGGAACGUGCCCAUAUGUUUGGAAUAACUCAGGGAAACUUGUGACAACACCGAAUGUGACCUUCGAGGGAAAGAUUUAUCGCCUUUAGUGCGGCACGCGUCUGAUUAGCUAGUUGGUUCAGGUAAUGGCUCACCAAGGCGACGUUCACUAGCUGGUCUGAGAGGAAGGUCAGCCACCUUGGGACUGGGACGCGGCCCAAACUCCUACGGAAGGGGGCAAUGGGGGAUCUUGCACCGUGGGGUAAGGGCUGAAGGAGCCAGGACGCGUGAAUGAUGAAGGUCUUAAGAUUGAAAAAUGCUUGCACCGGGGACGAUAUUGACGGUACCCAAAGAAGAAGCCCCGGCUAACUUCGUG